GAUUGAUUACAUAUUACGGAUUUCAUUGUCUAGUAAAUUUUAAAAUGGAUAAACAAAAGAGAGCACGAAGCGAAAAUUGGUUGGAAGACGACAAGGCCCAUAAUUUAUUGAAAAAUAUAAUGUAUUGAUACUUAUCAAAACACAGCUUAAACAACAAGGAUUAGAAACAUGUCUGUAUAACUAUAUUCAAUGGAUGACUGUGACUGCAUCAUAUAUCAGAAGAUAUAAAUAACAACAAUGUAUAAACUACAUUAAAACUUUGUCCUUUACACAUAAUCUGGAUAAAUAGUUUGAAAGUUACAUAUUCAUAGCAGACCUGUGAGGCUUCAAAAAUAAUUAAUUCUGGAAGAUUUUUACAAAAAUACAUUUUCAUAUGAAGUCACAGGCAACCGCUAGUUGUAAUAAUUGUGUAACAGUGCAAAUUAUGAAUGCACUGAAGUUGAUAAUCAUUUCAUAGUAAACAAAUUAGUGUUUGUACAAAAACUUGUAUUGUAAAUUUUUUGUAAAAAUUGUGUUUAUUAAAUAAUAUUGAAAUAAAUAAA